ensembl:misc_RNA Metazoa_SRP Metazoan signal recognition particle RNA
GCCAGGCGUGGUGGCGCAUGCCUGUAAUCCCAGCUACUCGGGAGGCUGAGGCAGGAGAAUUGCUUGAACCUGGGAGGCAGAGGUUGCAGUGAGCCAAGAUUGCGCCACUGCACUCCAGCCUGGGAGACAAAGCAAGACUCCGUCUCAA